AUUGAACGCUGGCGGCAGGCCUAACACAUGCGAGUCGAGCGGAUGAAGGGAGCUCGCUCCUGGAUUCAGCGGCGGACGGGUGAGUAAUGCCUAGGAAUCUGCCUGGUAGUGGGGGAUAACGUCCGGAAACGGGCGCUAAUACCGCAUACGUCCUGAGGGAGAAAGUGGGGGAUCUUCGGACCUCACGCUAUCAGAUGAGCCUAGGUCGGAUUAGCUAGUUGGUGGGGUAAAGGCCUACCAAGGCGACGAUCCGUAACUGGUCUGAGAGGAUGAUCAGUCACACUGGAACUGAGACACGGUCCAGACUCCUACGGGAGGCAGCAGUGGGGAAUAUUGGACAAUGGGCGAAAGCCUGAUCCAGCCAUGCCGCGUGUGUGAAGAAGGUCUUCGGAUUGUAAAGCACUUUAAGUUGGGAGGAAGGGCAGUAAGUUAACACCUUGCUGUUUUGACGUUACCAACAGAAUAAGCACCGGCUAACUUCGUG
rnacentral:rRNA from 1 species